CCUACGGGUGGCAGCAGUGAGGAAUAUUGGUCAAUGGGCGCGAGCCUGAACCAGCCAAGUAGCGUGAAGGAUGACUGCCCUACGGGUUGUAAACUUCUGUUAUAAAGGAAUAAAGUGAGGCACGUGUGCCUUUUUGUAUGUACUUUAGGAAUAAGGAUCGGCUAACACCGUGCCAGCAGCCGAGGUAAUACGGAGGUUCCGAGCGUUAUCCGGAUUUCUUGGGUUUACAGGGAGCGUAGAUGGGUUGUUAAGUCAGUUGUGAAAGUUUGCGGCUCAACCGUAAAAUUGCAAUUGAUACUGGCAGCCUUUAGUCCAGUUGAGGUAGGCGGCAUUCGUGUUGUAGCGGU
rnacentral:rRNA from 1 species